rnacentral:rRNA from 1 species
GGGGAAUUUUCCGCAAUGGGCGAAAGCCUGACGGAGCAAUGCCGCGUGAGUGAAGAAGGCCUUCGGGUUGUAAAGCUCUGUCUUCAGGGACGAAGAAGUGACGGUACCUGAGGAGGAAGCCACGGCUAACUACGUGCCAGCAGCCGCGGUAAUACGUAGGUGGCAAGCGUUGUCCGGAAUGACUGGGCGUAAAGGGCGUGUAGGUGGACCGAUCAGUCGGGUGUGAAAGCUCUGGGCUUAACCCAGAAAUUGCAUGCGAUACGGUCGGUCUUGAGUGCAGGAGAGGGCAGUGGAAUUCCCAGUGUAGCGGUGAAAUGCGUAGAGAUUGGGAGGAACACCAGUGGCGAAGGCGGCUGCCUGGACUGUAACUGACACUGAGGCGCGAAAGCGUGGGGAGCAAAC